UUCCCGCUCGACCUAGCCCCCUUCAAUCCCAUCUCCUCACGGCCGGCCGCGGCGGCGGCGGUUUCGAUCGAGCUAGGCCGCCUCUUUAGGUUUCCUGCAGUCAAUCGACCGGGCGUGCGUGUUUCUUGGGCAUUCCCCCCCUCCCGGCGUUGGCCAGGCCAGGGUUUUCUUGGAGGAGGGGAUCGAUUUUGUUAGUGAUUUGGGCAAGCCGCUCUCUUUGCUUCGUGGCGGGGAUGGGGAUAUUUAUCUUUAUUACAGCAUGACAAUUCUUUCUUGAUGUUUUUCACCGGUCCCUUGUCCAAUUUCAACCGUCUCUUUGGAUUCGACACCGCAUCUCGUCCUGCGCGCGCCGACGGUUUGAUUAGGGUUUCUUUUCAAUCUCUUGGGAUGAACGACCGGCAUCACGCAUGUAGAUGUACUAGUAGUAUAGUAGUAUGUUUCUUGUUUGGCACCUCAAUUUCCAGGUUAUUAUAUUAUUGCUAGUGCUCUUGUUCCUGGCGUUGAUGCGUGAUCCUUGCUUGCAUAGAUACAUACAAAACUCGGUUCCAGACUGUCGCCACGGCCCACCCACGGCUUGGAAAUUUCAGCUAGAUUUCAGCCAGGCGCACCUUUUCUUUUUGUUAUUGUUAUUAGUAAAUUGCUUGGCUAUUGCCACGGUGGCCGCAUCACAGCUGCGAAAUCCCCACUGGCGUAGGAUGCAAAGAUAAGACGCUGGCAAGUGGCUGUACAGCUUAUUCUUGUUUACUUGUCUUAGACACAGAUGUAUAUCGCUGUCAAAGACUGCGACGACGUGCCGUGCUGAUUGAAUAUUAGUUGGACGAGCCUGCUGGGGCUGAACAUUUGACUUUUGACCGAAACAAGUGAUCAGAAGCGCUUCCCCAGUUGACAUCAUCCUGCAGACGGCGUUUAGGAUGGGCAUCAUCUUUAUCUCCCACUAUAUAUGUAUGUGCAGCAUGCUUCGUCUAGUUCCCAACUUCCCAAGAACACCCUCAAGCAUACAAGCCUUGGGUUUCUACUCUGCACUGAACUAAUUGAUAAGCAUAAACCAUGGGUGGGGUACUUGGUUUGAUACAGAUUGAUCAAUCAACAGUAGCCAUCAAGGAGACCUUCGGGAAGUUUGAUGCCAUCCUGCAACCUGGAUGCCACUGCUUGCCAUGGUGCCUAGGGCAGCAGAUUGCUGGAUACCUUUCUCUGCGUGUGCAA